UCUCACACUUACCCAUUUAUUAACUUUGUGGGGCUCUUGUUUAAGUGGAAAAUCACUCCGUCCAAUAAAGGAGGAGAAGAAAGAGCCCAAUUCACCAUCGUUUUUUUUUAUUUCCGUUUUUCAUGUCUUGUCUGAAUCGCAUUCUCAUUGGAGGGUCGCCUUUUUUUUCGUCCGUUUUUUGGGGGGUCGUUGGGAAAAUUUCUCCGGUGAGUUAUUGGUGUGGGAUAAUGGACAGGACACAUCCUAAUUCAGGAAUUUCUCUCUGUUCUUUCUUCUUUCUACUUCCUCUCUCUGUCCGUGGAUACGGUGGUCCCGGCGAAGUUAAGACACUCCAGAACAGAGCCUAUAAGAUGAACGUCAACGUGAAAGGCUUGGGAGGUGAAGAUCAAGUCAUGCGUCCUCCGAAACAUGACCCACCAAACUGUGCUUCUUAACACUCGCCCGCUUAACCCGGAAGCCAGCCGCACCAAUAUGUCGGAGGAAACACCAUUUACCCUAUGACCGGGGUCAGCCUGCAGGCCCCCGGCCUGCCACAAGGAGUCGCUACACCGCGACGAGCCAAGACCUCCCGGCCAAACCCUCCCCUAACCUAUGGGACUCCCAAACACAGCCGGUUGUGAUACAGCCCAGGACCAAACCAGGACCAUGCAGGCUGGACGCCCCUGCAGAGGCGUGUAACCAUGGCAGCAGUGCAUGUGUGGAGGCCCUGCUGUCCCUCACCUGAACGGCCAGGCAGGCGGAGUCAGUCUGCUACACGAUGCUCUGUGGACACACAGACAUCGACAAGAUGCUCCAGCAUGCAGGAUCUGCUGCAGCAGAAAGAUGGCCAUGGCCGGACUGCACUGGAGCUGGUUUCAAAUGCCAUGCUGAGGGAGGAGCUUUGAUGCAGCGCCCUGACUGGAGAAGUGGCCCUGGAGGCAAUGAGGUCAGGGGCCUGCCCUUCCUGGAGGCCUGCUCCUGCCUGCUGACCCAUUUGCUCUUCAACCCCCCUACUUCCUCCUCCUCCUCUAGAACGUGCCCUGGGAUGAAUCCCGGCCCACAUGUCAAACUGAUUGUGUCAUUCAUAGUCUGUUUCAGGGGCCAUUUUGUUUUCGAUUAUAUUUCUUCUUACUCUUUUUUUAGCAAUUUUUCACACUUGUUCAUGUUAUUUUGUGUUAUGUCAGCAGUGUUUUUAUAGAUUAUGUAUAAAUACACUGCUCAAGAAAAUAAAGGGAACACUAAAAUAA